rnacentral:rRNA from 1 species
AMCAUGCAGUCGACGAUGAUGCCCAGCUUGCUGGGUGGAUUAGUGGCGAACGGGUGAGUAACACGUGAGUAACCUGCCCCUGACUCUGGGAUAAGCGUUGGAAACGACGUCUAAUACUGGAUAUGACUACYGGCCGCAUGGUCUGGUGGUGGAAAGAUUUUUUGGUUGGGGAUGGACUCGCGGCCUAUCAGCUUGUUGGUGAGGUAAUGGCUCACCAAGGCGACGACGGGUAGCCGGCCUGAGAGGGUGACCGGCCACACUGGGACUGAGACACGGCCCAGACUCCUACGGGAGGCAGCAGUGGGGAAUAUUGCACAAUGGGCGAAAGCCUGAUGCAGCAACGCCGCGUGAGGGAUGACGGCCUUCGGGUUGUAAACCUCUGUUAGUAGGGAAGAUCG